GAGCCGGGUAACAACGCUCCUCUCCAAGCCACCUCCGGCCGGUCUCUUAGGAGCAAUCGCGUUUGGUCUGUUCCCAAGGUUUCUGUGGCACUCAGGCAGACCUUGGGGAGUUGACUUUAUAUGAUUGGGGAUACUUGGGGUGAUUAUGUUGAGUGAUGUUCACUGAGCGGGGAGUAUCCCGGGGACAGAUUGAGAGCCCAAAGAUAUAGAUCUCUGCGGGAGCUGUCCUCAGGCGGGACGCCUCUGUGAGACCCGGCCCGCAAGUGCCUAGAACUUCUACCCCACAGGAACGCAAGGAAGCGGAAAGAAGAAAAGGGUCUCUCCUUGGCGAGCUAGCCGGCCGACUGGAGAAGUGCGGUACGCCCACUGCCUUGGCCCCAACGACUACACCUGUGAAGGAGGAUUCCUGAGGCUUCGGAUGGGUGCCCUUGCUGAGAUCCGUCGGGAGUACUGCUCCGGGUGCAGAGAUUUAUCAAGGUCUGGAAAUGUCAAAAGCGAUGUAGCACCCAGGAGGUCUUCAGCGAAACACAUGCAAGCUGUCUUCUACAUGAUCUAGAACAAACCAAUCAGCUAUGUGAACUCACUGGCUUUAAUCAGAGCUGCAUUUUGGAAGUACGAGAAAGACACUGUUGCCAGAUGCCCAUCUAGGCUCCAGGCACUUGACAUAACAAAAUUAAAUAAAAGUCAAUCAUAACUACCAA